rfam:Shigella flexneri 2a she pathogenicity island, complete sequence.
ACGAUCGAUACCUAUUUUACCGAUCGUUAAUAUCGAUCGUUAUGCUAAUAAUAACUCCUGUUAGCAACGUGCGCAGAUACACACAGACAUGAGAUUCAGGGAACAACAGAGCCACACGUCAGAAACUUCCGUCAGCCGGACCUCCGGCACUGUAACCCUUUACCUGCCGGUAUCCACAUCUGUGGAUACCGGCUUUUUUAUUCACC